rnacentral:rRNA from 1 species
GACAGAGGGGGCAAGCGUUGCUCGGAAUCACUGGGCGUAAAGGGCGCGUAGGCGGGAUGGCAAGUCGGUCGUGAAAUCCUUCGGCUCAACCGAAGAACGUCGGCCGAUACUGCCGUUCUUGAGGGAUGCAGAGGAGACUGGAAUUCCCGGUGUAGCGGUGAAAUGUGUAGGGAUCGGGAGGAACACCGGUGGCGAAGGCGGGUCUCUGGGCAUCUCCUGACGCUGAGGCGCGAAAGCGUGGGGAGCAAACGGG